rnacentral:lncRNA from 1 species
AAUUUAGAAAAAAAUUGAAAAAGGCGAAAUGGGAAAAAAAUUCCCGCAUGAAAAAUCCCGCGGAAGGCUUGUUGCCCGCGCAAGUGCUGGGCACUGUGUGUGUGUGCAUGCAAGCAUAGUGGUUGCGGGACGUGAGCACAGUGCGCAUGUCCCAUCCACACGCUCGCACGCACGAAACGUACGCACCGCGCGCGCGACACAGGUUCACAACCUAUUCACGCGUCUUGUCGCGCGCAGGUGGGUUGUCUACGCAUCACCUCGUGCAUGGACAAGUGCCGCACACUUUGCGUGCGCCAUCCAUGCAGUAGGGCUGCACGGAUAGGCCCUAUGUGUUUGGGGUCUGUGCGCGCGGUGCCCAGCGUGCGCAACAGUAGGCCUAUGCGCUUAUAGGCUAAUUUGCAGGGCGUCAGCUAGAGCACUGCCACCUUGGGUAGUGCGCUGCUAUUGCCUUGGGCAGUGUAACUUUGCCACCGACGGAGGAGGCCCUCCUCCCUUGGUUGUCAUGCCAAGCAUCUUUUUCUCCUAUCUUUUCAUAGGAUUUCGCCACUUGGUGCGAAUCCAAUGGUUCUAAAAUUUUAUAAAUUGCCCUCCCCCUUCCCUUCUUCUUCACACUUCC